GGCUACGUCACGUUGAAACACCGGUUCUCGUAGGAUCACCGAAGUUAAACAACGUUGAACCUCGUCAGUACCUAGGUGGAUGUUCACUUGGGAAUAUCAGGUGCUGUAAG